UACAGAGGGUGCAAGCGUUAAUCGGAAUUACUGGGCGUAAAGCGCACGUAGGUGGUUCAGUAAGUUGGAAGUGAAAUCCCCGGGCUCAACCUGGGAACUGCUUUCAAAACUGCUGAGCUAGAGUACGGUAGAGGGUGGUGGAAUUUCCUGUGUAGCGGUGAAAUGCGUAGAUAUAGGAAGGAACACCAGUGGCGAAGGCGACCACCUGGACUGAUACUGACACUGAGGUGCGAAAGCGUGGGGAGCAAACAGG
rnacentral:rRNA from 1 species